rnacentral:rRNA from 1 species
CCUACGGGAGGCUGCAGUGGGGAAUAUUGCACAAUGGGGGGAACCUUGAUGCAGCAACGCCGCGUGGGUGAAGAAGUACUCCGGUAUGUAAAGCCCUGUCAGCAGGGAAGAAAAUGACGGUACCUGACCAAGAAGCCCCGGCUAACUACGUGCCAGCAGCCGCGGUAAUACGUAGGGGGCAAGCGUUAUCCGGAUUUACUGGGGGUGAAGGGAGCGUAGACGGGAAGGCAAGUCUGGAGUGAAAGGCCGUGGCCCAACCACGGGACUGCUUUGGAAACUGUGUUGCUGGAGUGCAGGAGGGGUAAGCGGAAUGCGUGGUGUAGCGGUGAAAUGCAUAGAUAUUAGGAGGAACACCGGUGGCGAAGGCAGCUUACUGGAGUGUAACUGACGUUGAGGCUCGAAGGCGUGGGGAGCGAACAGGAUUAGAUACCCUGGUAGUC